AACUGCUAAAUCUAUAUUUUGCUUAGAAUGUUUGUUGCUAGUAUUAAAUCUUAACAAAUUAUUUAUGGUCAAAGUUCAAUUGGGUCUCAACUAAAAUGCGCACUCGUAUGUUCAAGCUUUUAACAAUUUUAGUAGGUUUUGCUUUUUGUUUAUUUGGUUCAAUUGGGAGGGCAAAUUGAGAGCAACAUAUCCGAAUAAUUUCUGCAUCACUAAAUGCCCAUAAAAAUCAACUGUGUAUCGUAUGUGUGGAGUUCUAUGGAGACAUCCAUGCAACAAACUGUCCUGCAGAAGAGGGGAGAGAGGAUGUGCAGCGAAGCAUAAAAUCGCAAAAACAGCACUGAGAAUUUCAGAAUAGACAGAAAACCCCCAAAACUCCAACCGGACAGAAAAAGCAUCGAAUUGAGAAAUAGAAAAAGAGAUAUCACUACUGGACGUUGAGUAAAUUCCUUGAGAAGAUACCCUUGAUAACGAAAAUCAGGUGUAACAUUUUACUCAAUAUACCCUUUAGUUGGGGAUCACUUCGAAUCCGAGGGUAUCGGAAGAGAGGAGCAAAAACUGUUUGGAUGUUGGCGCAUAUAAAGUCGCUAGCAUUUUUAUGAGUCGUAAAUCGAAGCGAUAAAAUCACACGACCAAAACAGAGGCCAAGCAGCCAAAGCCAUCAUGGACGCUAGGAGCAGUGCACUGUUCUGGCCUGGUCAACUCAGACUAGACUAUGGCCGUCUGUCCAGCUGUUCGUCUCAUAAGUCACACGAUAAAUUUUGCAACAUUGCGCUAAUGACAACAACAGCAGCUGGGGGAUGAGAAGAAGAUGGAGAUGGAGAUGGUGAUGGAGAAGGAGAGUGAGUUGGUGUUAGCAGCAGUUGCAAUCGCUACAAGUCGAAAUCCAAAGUCGGCGCCAUUUUGCGACGGAAGUUCAUUAUUGUCAGUGAUUAAUGACAAAACAGAUGAAGGGGGAUGCAGAAGGAGGUAAGAGUCAGGAGGCAGGGGGCAGGGAAUGGUGGUUGCCUCUGCGGAUGCCACAUAAGUUAGCCAAGCAAAUGCGCUGACAACGAGCAAACGUUGUCCCAGUUGAUGUUGCCGUUCUUGCUGCUGCUGUUGUUGGCAGUCGUCUCUCGGUCUCUUGGUCUCUCGGUCUCUUUUGCCAAUGACAUUUAUGGGUUUACUACUUCCGGCACAGCACUGAAAAAGGGGGAAGAACAAAAAAAGAAGAAAGAUGCGUGCUGGCAUUAGAUACUGGUGUUGGUUUCGAGCUGUUAACAUCCUUGAAUGUCACUGAGUCAGUGCGUUUGUCGAGUGUGUGGAGUGCAAUGCAUUGCCUCAACUGGCAAAAUGAUUAGCGCGUUGAUUUGGCAAACGAUUGAGUGCAAAAUUGGGAUAAAACAGAUGCUGACUGAGUGUGGAAAAGGGGUGCGAAAAGGGGCAGCGGGUGCAGGCGGCGCAGGCGGUGGCAAAAACACUCAACUGAAGUCGACUUGCUGCCAACUUUGUCCUUGGCUCUGGCGUUUCAACUAUGCAGCAUUAAGCACCAUUGACAACGGCACGCACACCGGCUAUGACGAGUUGCACGUUCUCUUUGCUGAGGUAGGACUGCGAUACACUGUAAACAAAUCAUAUAGUGAAAUUGAUGAAAGUAGACUCAAUCUUAAUCAUAGUUGAGAAAAAGAGACUUUUUGAUAAGUAACGCAAUAUUGACACAAAUCGAUAAUAAAAUUCAUAAUUCCAUUUUACUCGGAUUUAAUGCAAAUUACAACUAAUUAUUAUGUAUUAUGUUUACCAUUUGAAAGCAAUGGCUCUUGAAUACAGAAACAAUCUUAAUAUGAAAUUUUUAACCAAUAUUCGAAUGAUAUACAUUUUAACCACACAGUGAUAGUAAUUUAACUUAUAAGAAUUUUAAGUACAGUAUUCACUUUUAAAUU